rnacentral:lncRNA from 1 species
CAGGAAGUGAGCAGCUGUCCUCUACCAGGCCUCUCUCCUGUGCCGUUCUGCCCUGGAGCCGGCUGAUCAUGGACUGAAACCACAAGCCGAAAUAAACCUCUCUUCCUUCCAGUCGUGAAGGAAGUAAGAUACUAUUCAGGGCCCAGAAGUGAAAGCCAAGUGCUCCGGUCGCCCUGCCUGCCUUACCCAGAGUUUCUCAACUGCUAGGGAGGUACCAUCGGAGUGCCAAGUCCCCCCAAAGCCUAAAACGCCGCAGUUCUGACUCCACGGGUCUUCCUUUCCACCCCCACUUCUUGCAUCGUCUUCAGAAUAGAUGGGCAACUUGAAAGACAAACUGGAGCGCUUCCGUCGCCGCAUGAUGUUACCCUACUGAAAUUAAUAACCCAGCAGAGCCCUGCGGUGGCUUUUCUCUGUCGAAGACCCAGGGGAGGAGGGUCGCCGUGGACUGCAGGAACAGCAGUAAAGUGGCUUUGCAGAGACGGGAUCACGGAUGCCAAAAGGCACCUGCUUCUCCGAGGCCUUUCCACUCGCGUGGAGAGGAGUCCGGUGUGGUGGAGACUCAAGGAGGCGAACGAAGGACUGAGCAGCGUGCGGAGGGGGCGUGGCCAGGUGGGCGUGGCCUAGGUCGGAGGGCGCGGCCGAGAGGGCGUGGCCGGGGCGCGGCGGACCCCCCCGGUGGGCGGAGCUUCGGUCGCCUGGCCUCAGCCUUGCGACCCGGUUGUGCAUCCGUGCCCGCUCCCUCGCGCGGACGCCGGGUCCCGGGUCUCUGGGUUUUCCUCAUAGCCAGUGUUAGUCUGGUUAGUGACUCACCGCUUAGUGCCUACUUCCUCUGGGUUCCUCUUUUUUCCUUUUCUGAACUGAACAGGACUUUUGCCCUGAACUACAUCCCCAGCCCUUUCUAAUUUUUGAGGCAGGGUCACCCCAAGCCUCUAAGUCUCGAGCUUGCGCUGCUCCUGCCUCAGCCUCCCAGAGUGCUGGGAUUCCGGAGGGGCGCGCCGCCCCUCUCUCCGGGUCCUCCUUUGAAUUUCCCCAAAUCCGUCUCCCAGAGCGGAGCCCGUUCUCACACUGCGCCUGCGCGUCUUGCAGCCCUGUGCGUCCCCCUGGGUCCAGCUGGUGGAAAUUCACUGUCUGGCGUCAUCCCGAUUUUCCCCCCUGUGGGUAGGACUGCUUUCGCCAGGAUCCUGGAAAAUGGUUGCCUUCUCUCUCUUUGUGCUACCAGGUGAAAGGCGGUAUCAGCUCUGUCGCUGGAGGAAAAGGUGAAGGGCGCGGGGUGGAGGCGGGGCACAGAGCUCUGCCCGAGCCACCUGGCGCGCGGCCAGGGCCAGGCCAGGACCGGACGCGGGGCCACGGGGACACCGCCGCCCACGAAUCCCUCCCCCUUUCUAACCCGGGUGAGGCGAUUCGCUUUACAAAGGCCACAGUACUGCAGGCGACUUCUGCAAAGCUGAACCAGUGGAAAGAUAAAGGCAAAUAUCGAACUUGCCCUUUGCUUGCCAAAUCAAUACCUUGAAUAAAGAAGGAUCCAGGUAGAGGGAAUUUGUCCCUAAGAACCUCAACAGCCGAGGCGGAAGUAAACGGUGGGAGUGGGAGGUGGCUUAUCCUGCUCAUCUUGCUGCGAAUCGACAGGGAUUCAGUUCGCGAGAGCUGGCCGAGUAGCUGGGAAAUGUCAAACAAGGCAGCAGGCGCUCAGACAAGCACAGCGCGUAACAGCCAGUAAUUCUCAGGUGUGAGCUGGAACACAAGGGCAGAGAAAAAAGAAAAAUACAGGGGAAAAGUUUAAAGCAUCGCAUUGGACUAAGGAGUGAAGAAGUCCUGAGCGACUUCAGUCCAGUUAUGACCAACUCCAGGGAGGAAGGGACAGUUGCUUGAAGCCAAAAUUGGGGAAUGCGUGUCUUAAAUGAUAAGCAUAUAAAGUGUGUUUUGUAAACUGAGGUAUCUCUCGUUUUUUGCAGCGUGUCUUCUUGGAGAACAAGGAAGUGGGGUUAAAAGAAGUCAACUCGGAUCUGUGUGACUUCAACCUGUGGGGCUCUGAGGGAAAAUUACCGACAUCUCAGAGCUUUUGCUUUCACCUGCUAAAUAGGGUUGUUUUGAAAAUUAAAUGAUAUAAAGUGCUUAUGUACACCUGGAGCAUAAUUCAUAGACAUAAUUGCCACUACUAAAAUUACUACUCAAAAUAAUAUUUCUGUAGAACUCAUGCUACAGUUUUAUUUAUUUAUUUAUUUAUUUAUUUUGGUACUGGGAAUUGAACUCAGGACUUUGCACUUGCCAGGCAGGCACUUGUGCCGCUGAGCUGUAGCUCAUGCUACAGCUUUAAUAAGCAGUCAACAAAUACUUUUUCCGAGUAGAGAAAAACCCCUAAUUCAUAAGUAACACUAACUCUUAUCACACAUUUCCUAUUUUAUCUGAAAGACAGUAAUUCAAAGACUAAGACAUCGGCAUUUUCUUAGUUCUGAUUUGUUCUAUGUCAGAAUAAUCAGACACACAAUCUUAAAUAUCUCAUGGCAUCUCUUGUAUGAGAAACCCAAAGUAUGAAGAAAUGAAGCAGCAAAAUAAAAGAUAGAUAAUAGGAAACAGGGAGAUCUUUUGCAAAUGGGAGAGGAACCAACAGAUAGAGAGAGGAGAGAGGGAAAGGAAGGGAGAGGAACACAGAAAGAAUUAAGAUGUAUUAUGUUCAUUUACCAACUCCCCACGAUGAAUGUUACCUUGAAGUACUGCAAGCAUGGAGUAAUAAAAAUAAAGAAUAAUAGAAAUUUUAUGUACCUUGGUAUAAGGGUGGUGGUUGCAAUUCUGUAAUUAAACUUACAAUGGAUGCAAAGAAAACAAUAGAAUGAAAACAGAGACAUUCACUAGACUACGUGGAAGAUCCCCUGUCAUACCACUGCACUUUCUUUGUUUUUUCGUGCCAGGGCUCAAACCCAGGGCCUUGAGCAUAGUAGACAAGGAAUCUACCACUGUACCACAUCCCCCAGCUCAGAUCCUUGUCCUUCUAAAUCCGUCUUUAAAAAAAAUAAAUCCAUUUUAAUUUCAGAUGUUUCC